rnacentral:rRNA from 1 species
UACGGGGGGGGCAAGCGUUGUUCGGAAUUACUGGGCGUAAAGGGCUCGUAGGCGGCCAACUAAGUCAGACGUGAAAUCCCUCGGCUUAACCGGGGAACUGCGUCUGAUACUGGAUGGCUUGAAUCCGGGAGAGGGAUGCGGAAUUCCAGGUGUAGCGGUGAAAUGCGUAGAGAUCAGGAGGAACACCCGUGGCGAAGGCGGCUCCCUGGUCCGUUUCUGACGCCGAGACGCGAAAGCGCGGGGAGCGAACGGG